GAUUAACGCUAGCGGCAGGCAUAAUACAUGCAAGUUGAACGGGAUUAGGUUUAGCAAUAGACUUAUGAGAGUGGCGCACGGGUGCGUAACACGUAUGCAACCUGCCCCUGACAGGAGGAUAGCCUCUCGAAAGAGAGAUAAAUAUUCCAUAACAUAUAGGUUAAGCAUUUAAUUUAUAUCAAAGCUCCGGCGGUCAGGGAUGGGCAUGCGGCUGAUUAGGUAGUUGGUGAGGUCACGGCACACCAAGCCGACGAUCAGUAGGGGGUCUGAGAGGAUGUCCCCCCACACUGGUACUGAGACACGGACCAGACUCCUACGGGAGGCAGCAGUAGGGAAUAUUGGUCAAUGGGGGCAACCCUGAACCAGCCAUGCCGCGUGCAGGAAGACUGCCCUAUGGGUUGUAAACUGCUUUUGUACGGGAAGAAAUCAAUCUACGUGUAGGUUGUUGACGGUACCGUGAGAAUAAGGAUCGGCUAACUUCGUGCCAGCCGCCGCCGUAAAAC
rnacentral:rRNA from 1 species